UACGGAGGGUGCAAGCGUUAUCCGGAUUCACUGGGUUUAAAGGGUGCGUAGGCGGGUAUUUAAGUCAGUGGUGAAAUCCUAGAGCUUAACUCUAGAACUGCCAUUGAUACUAUUUAUCUUGAAUAUUGUGGAGGUAAGCGGAAUAUGUCAUGUAGCGGUGAAAUGCUUAGAUAUGACAUAGAACACCUAUUGCGAAGGCAGCUUACUACGCAUAUAUUGACGCUGAGGCACGAAAGCGUGGGGGAUCAGACAGGAUUAGAUACCCUGGUAGUCCACGCCCUAAACGAUGGAUACUCGACAUGCGCGAUACACUGUGUGUGUCUGAGCGAAAGCAUUAAGUACCCCACCUGGGAAGUACGACCGCAAGGUUGAAACUCAAAG
rnacentral:rRNA from 1 species